AGAACAUUAGGGAUAGAUUGAAAAAAUAAGCAUAGUGGGGCUCCCCAUAGUCCCCUCUAAGAGAAAGAAUCCUACGGCUCCAUAACAGAUUUAAGAGGAAAUAUUCACUAAUUCUCACCAAUUCGACCAAAAAUGUUCUGGAAUUUAAUAGUUCUAAUGGCUGCUUUGUUUACGGACAUGAUGAUGAUUUCCUGUUUGCCAAAGUUCCUAUCUAGAUUGAACUGGGAACAUUGAAUACUUUUUUACAUGAAAAAUACUGGGUUUGUUACCUAGGUUUUCAGAGUAUUAGGUUUUGGGCCCUGUCUCCUCUAUUCCGAUUUAGUCAGCUGCUUUAGAGCCGCCCUUCCAUCACUUAAUAUCUGAAGGGUGCAGGGGAAGAACGAUAAAACUCCAAAACAUAGACAAUUGAGAUAUCGAUAUAUUUUGGUUCGUCUAUGUGAGUACAAUCACCAUGUGCAAUAUUACAGGGGAAUAGUGAUCAGACUCUGCGCUAUAAGCCAAAACAUUUGAAGGAUGCAGGGGAAUAUUGGACAAGCUCCACUGUUUCAAUGAAAGAACGAACAAACUCCUUAACGUGUCGCGACAGGCAUACAUCGGCUGCCUGGUUUUGGUCUGUCAGUCUGCAGUUUACCUUCGUGAUAGACAGAUUUAUGUCUGAUGUGUUUACUGUGUUUUUAGUUCAUUUGCGUUUGAUAGUGAUGCAAUUGAAGUGUGUGAUAAUAGUGGUGCUUCUACAAAGAAGAGACGUAAAUUUGGUCGUGUACGUGACUCUGAAAAAAGACUGAGGAAUAGUACGGAUGAAGCAGGCGAUGACUGUAAGUGUCAGAAAUUAAAAUGUUUUGAGAAAGUCAAUGGAGCUGAACGUCUUAAGUUAAUUGCAAAAUUUAAUGGCCUUACAGAUAGGAAUGAACAGAAUUCUUAUUUAGCUCGUUCAAUUACAAUAAAGCCAGUUGCACGCCGUAGGGCAAAAAAUCUUUGGAGGAGUCUAGAUUAAACGAUUUCUCAUAUGAGUACAAAUUACGUAUUGUUCGUAAUGGCAAAGUUGAGGAGGUUAAAGUGUGCCAUAAAGCAUUUAUAGCUAUUUUUGGCGUUACAAACCGUAGGCUUGUCACCAUAAAGAAGGCGUUAUCUUCAACAGGACAACCACCUAUUGAUAAGAGAGGAUGUCACAAAAACCGGAUGCACAAAGUAUCAGAUGAGACACAUCAAGCUAUGAAGGAUUUUUUCGGUUCAUUGAAGGGCCGCAAGGCACAUUAUUUUUUGAAGGACACAAAUAAAGUGUAUUUACCCGAAAAAAAAUGUCUUGCUUUGUUUUUCCAAAAAUAAAAUACUGAAAUAUCUUAUGAGAAAUUUCGUCAAACUUUUGUUGAGAAUUUUGAUAUCUCUUUCGGGUACCCACGCACUGAUGCAUACGCAACGUGUGAUGAACAAAAAGUUAAGGGGGAAAAUAUUUCAAAAUCAUUAGAAAAUGCUACUGAUGAAGAUAGGCCUAAAUUGGAGAAAGAGUUGACACAAAGUCAGACCGAUAUGAAGCUUCACAAACUAAAGGCCGACCGGUCUAAUAAAAGAAAGAGGGAUUCUAGAGCAGAAAGCAGGAAAUCUGUAAAAACUGAGGCAACUGCUGUAGAUUUUGGCCGGAAUCUUCCUAUUCCAGACAAGUGAGGUAUAUUUACGACGCCAACUAUCAUUUUAUCUUUUUAACAUACAUGUAUUGGCAAGUGGUUUAUCAGUAUUCUACGCCUAUGACCAAACUCAAGGAAAAAAAGGAGCAGAUGAUGUUCUAUAUAUGAUUGACCACUUUUUACAGAAUUACUUGGACCCUGCUGUUGAGGAAUUGAAAAUAUUCCGUGACAGCUGUUCAGGUCAGAACAAAAACUUUACAGUGCUCCGAUAUUUUCAUUAGAUGACAGUGCCAGUUGAGAAGAAAAGAUUUAAAGAAGUGAGAAUAACGUUUCCUGUGAGGGGACACUCUUAUAUGGAAACAGAUAAAAAUAUGGGUUUGUUACCUCGCAAAACGGGAGCAGAAACACCAAGUGAUUUGCGUGAUGUUUUAAGGUCCACAAGGGUAAGCCUAGUCCGUUUGAAGUUAUAGAUUUUAAAAGAGAAAAUUUCAAAGAGUGGGGGAAGUUCUUAUCUGAAAAGUAUACAAAAAAGUUUACGGCCAAAACUCGCCCCAUAAAAAAGUAAGAAUAACUCAAAUGAGAGCCGUACCAUAGAACACAGAUAUACCUACAAUGGAUUAUAUACUUCAACUGUAGUCACACCACCUAUGAAUACGAAGCCUCUCCAAGGAGCAGGACGUCACCCAAUCUCUGAACCAGAACCAUCGUAUCGUCAGCCGAUUCCUGUUCCAAAGGCUAAAUAUGAUGAUAUUCAAAUACUAAAGAGGUUCUGUAGAGAUGAUGCUCAAGAGUUCUACUCACAACUACCUUACAACAACUAACCUGCGACGCUGGCUGAGGAUGACGAGGGAAGCUGUUUUAAUUAAAAUGGUGUUACACAAGACUCCAGGAAAAGUCUGCCAAGAAAAUUUUGGAGAAUUAAGCUGGUCGCCUCUAAAAAAAGUUGAAAGUUUUU